rnacentral:rRNA from 1 species
GACGAACGCUGGCGGCGUGCUUAACACAUGCAAGUCGAACGAAGAGCGACGGAAGCUUGCUUCUAUCAAUCUUAGUGGCGAACGGGUGAGUAACGCGUAAUCAACCUGCCCUUCAGAGGGGGACAACAGUUGGAAACGACUGCUAAUACCGCAUACGAUCUAACCUCGGCAUCGAGGAUAGAUGAAAGGUGGCCUCUACAUGUAAGCUAUCACUGAAGGAGGGGAUUGCGUCUGAUUAGCUAGUUGGAGGGGUAACGGCCCACCAAGGCGAUGAUCAGUAGCCGGUCUGAGAGGAUGAACGGCCACAUUGGGACUGAGACAUGGCCCAGACUCCUACGGGAGGCAGCAGUGGGGAAUCUUCCGCAAUGGACGAAAGUCUGACGGAGCAACGCCGCGUGAGUGAUGACGGCCUUCGGGUUGUAAAGCUCUGUUAAUCGGGACGAAAGGCCUUCUUGCGAAUAGGGAGAAGGAUUGACGGUACCGGAAUAGAAAGCCACGGCUAACUACGUG